CGACGACUGGAACCUGGAGACACCAUUGAAGCCAUUGAUGGAUGCAACAACUGCACCUGCGAAGGUGGGAAAUUCAACUGUACUCGAAACCCUUGUCCAGUGUCAGGUGGCUGGUGUGAGUGGUCAGAGUGGACCCCUGCUCCAGGACCUGUGGAGCAGAGUCGGUGACCCGAUACAGAAGCUGCAGCUGUCCUGAGCCAGAGGCCGGAGGAGAGCCGUGCUCUGGUGAGCAGGAACUGCACAGUGGGGUUGGAGUUCAGAUCCACAGGCAGCCCUGCCCUGUCGUUACUUUCUGUCCAGUUCAUGGCUCGUGGAGUCCCUGGUCCAUGUGGUCAGAGUGUGAUGGAUGCACAGGAUCGUCGACUCGGACCAGAGAGUGUAACAGUCCUCCUGCUAGAUUCGGCGGUCUGCCGUGUCUGGGAGAGGGGAGGCAGAGCCGCCCUUGCAGUGAAAAUCUCACCAUCUGCUCAGACUGUGGUGGAGGCCAGGAAGAAUGGCCUUGUGGGAAGCCCUGUCCUCGCUCCUGUUCAGAUCUCCAUGGUGACACAGAGUGCUUGG